GACGAACGCUGGCGGCGUGCUUAACACAUGCAAGUCGAACGCUGAAGCUUGGUGCUUGCACUGGGUGGAUGAGUAGCGAACGGGUGAGUAAUAAGUGAGUAACCUGCCCUUGACUCUGGGAUAAGCCUGGGAAACUGGGUCUAAUACUGGAUACGACAUGUCACCGCAUGGUGGUGUGUGGAAAGGGUUUUACUGGUUUUGGAUGGGCUCACGGCCUAUCAGCUUGUUGGUGGGGUAAUGGCUCACCAAGGCGACGACGGGUAGCCGGCCUGAGAGGGUGACCGGCCACACUGGGACUGAGACACGGCCCAGACUCCUACGGGAGGCAGCAGUGGGGAAUAUUGCACAAUGGGCGGAAGCCUGAUGCAGCGACGCCGCGUGAGGGAUGACGGCCUUCGGGUUGUAAACCUCUUUCAGCACGGAAGAAGCGAAAGUGACGGUACGUGCAGAAGAAGCGCCGGCUAACUACGUG
rnacentral:rRNA from 1 species